rnacentral:tRNA from 1 species
GCGGGGAUAGCUCAGUUGGGAGAGCGUCAGACUGAAGAUAUCAAGGUCGCGUGUUCGAUCCACGCUCACCGCA